rnacentral:rRNA from 1 species
UAAGGAAUAUUGGUCAAUGGAGGCAACUCUGGACCAGCCAUGCCGCGUGCAGGAAGAAGGCCCUAUGGGUCGUAAACUGCUUUUGAACAAGAGAAAACCCCGGUACGUGUACUGGGUUGAUAGUAUUGUUAGAAUAAGCAUCGGCUAACUUCGUGCCAGCAGCCGCGGUAAGACGAAGGAUGCAAGCGUUAUCCGGAUUCAUUGGGUUUAAAGGGUGCGUAGGCGGACUGAUAAGUCAGUGGUGAAAUCUCUCGGCUUAACCGAGAAACUGCCAUUGAUACUGUUAGUCUAGAGUACAGAUGAUGUGGGCGGAAUAUGACAUGUAGUGGUGAAAUACUUAGAUAUGUCAUAGAACACCGAUUGCGAAGGCAGCUCACAAAACUGUAACUGACGCUGAGGCACGAAAGUGCGGGGAUCAAACAGGAUUAGAUACCCAUGUAGUCCCUGAGCGGGCUGGCAAGGCGCAU